rnacentral:rRNA from 1 species
AUUGAACGCUGGCGGCAGGCCUAACACAUGCAAGUCGAGCGGAUGAGGGGAGCUUGCUCCCUGAUUUAGCGGCGGACGGGUGAGUAAUGCGUAGGAAGCUGCCCGAUAGAGGGGGAUACCAGUUGGAAACGACUGUUAAUACCGCAUAAUGUCUACGGACCAAAGUGUGGGACCUUCGGGCCACAUGCUAUCGGAUGCGCCUACGUGGGAUUAGCUAGUUGGUGAGGUAAUGGCUCACCAAGGCGACGAUCUCUAGCUGGUUUGAGAGGAUGAGCAGCCACACUGGAACUGAGACACGGUCCAGACUCCUACGGGAGGCAGCAGUGGGGAAUAUUGGACAAUGGGCGCAAGCCUGAUCCAGCCAUGCCGCGUGUGUGAAGAAGGCCUUCGGGUUGUAAAGCACUUUCAGCGAGGAGGAAGGGUGGUGUGUUAAUAGCACAUCAUUUUGACGUUACUCGCAGAAGAAGCACCGGCUAACUCUGUGCCAGCCGCCGCGGUAAAAC